GGAUGCGAGGAUGAUCUGGUUGUGACAUCUGUCACCCCGUUGAUCGCCAGGGUUGAUUCUGCUGAUCUGCCUGGCUAGGCGGGUGUCCCCUUCCUCCUUCACUGCUCCAUGUGCGUCCCUCAUGCAUAUUCAGUAACAGUGAAAUCUCUCUAGAAAGCUGAAUGGCUGGGUCAGGGGACAGGAUAAUGGUUAUGCAAAUGACUUUCAUGUCUCAAGUUCCAAUGUCCCAGGUUCGAACCCCAGCAUCACCGUAACCAGAGCUGAGCACUGCUCUGGU
rnacentral:snRNA from 1 species